UACGUAGGUGGCAAGCGAUACUCGGAAUCACUAGGCGUAAAGCGCAGGUAGGCGGUUUGGUAAGUCUUUUGUGAAAGCUCCCGGCUUAACUGGGAGAGGUCAAAGGAAACUACCAGGCUAGAGUGUGGCAGAGGAAGCUGGAAUUCCCGGUGUAGCGGUGAAAUGCGUAGAUAUCGGGAGGAAUACCUAUGGCGAAAGCAGGCUUCUGGGCCAUCACUGACGCUGAUCUGCGAAAGCUAGGGGAGCAAACAGG
rnacentral:rRNA from 1 species